GACGAACGCUGGCGGCGUGCUUAACACAUGCAAGUCGAACGGAAAGGCCCUGCUUUUGUUGGGUUCUCGAGUGGCGAACGGGUGAGUAACACGUGAGUAACCUGCCUUUGACUUUGGGAUAACUUCAGGAAACUGGGGCUAAUACCUGAUAGGAGCUCCUGCUGCAUGGUGUGGGUUUGUUAGUUUCGGCGGUUGGGGAUGGACUCGCGGCUUAUCAGCUUGUUGGUGGGGUAGUGGCUUACCAAGGCUUUGACGGGUAGCCGGCCUGAGAGGGGGACCGGCCAAAGUGGGACUGAGAUACGGCCCAGACUACUACGGGAGGCAGCGGUGGGGAAUAUUGCACGAUGGGCGGAAGCCUGAUGCAGCAACGCCGCGUGCGGGAUGACGGCCUUCGGGUUGUAAACCGCUUUCGCCUGUGACGAAGCGUGAGUGACGGUAAUGGGUAAAGAAGCACCGGCUAACUACGUG
rnacentral:rRNA from 1 species